GAGUUUUAUAUUAAAUUUUAUUAAAAAUUUUUAUAAAAAUUUAUAUUAAAAUAAAAUAAAAUAUUAUAUUGGGGUGAUAGAAAAAUAAAAUAAACUUUUUUUUAAAAAUUAACAUAAAUAAAUGAUUUUUUGAUCCAUUAUUAAUGAUUACAAGAAAAAAUUACCUUAGGGAUAACAGCGUAAUUUUUUUUUUUAGAACAAAUAAAAAAAAGAGAUUGC
rnacentral:rRNA from 1 species